CCAUACCAGCCGGGGAAUUAGCGGAGCCCUGAACCUGAAACCCGCUGCAGCAGGGGUGGAUCCCCCUUUUGAGGAAUAAGCUUUUGCGAAUGAAACGCCUUUUUCGUGUUGAGAAAUGGGUCUUGCGCAAUUCGGUUCCGUGAACCAUGUCAGGUGGGGAACCAAGCAGCAUUAAGCGGAGUGCUGGAUGUGCCGCAAGGAAGCCUGUUUUGAGCGAGAAUUGCGAAGCUCGCGCGGAAGUGAGUUUCGAUUUUGGGGUGUAUGG
rnacentral:SRP_RNA from 1 species